rnacentral:rRNA from 1 species
CUUANGUGGGGAAUAACGCAUCGAAAGUUGCGCUAAUACCGCAUAUACUCUGAGGAGGAAAGUGGGGGCUCGCAAGACCUCAUGCUUCUGGAGCGGCCGAUAUCUGAUUAGCUAGUUGGUGAGGUAAAGGCUCACCAAGGCAUCGAUCAGUAGCUGGUCUGAGAGGACGACCAGCCACACUGGAACUGAGACACGGUCCAGACUCCUACGGGAGGCAGCAGUGGGGAAUUUUGGACAAUGGGGGCAACCCUGAUCCAGCAAUGCCGCGUGAGUGAAGAAGGCCUUCGGGUUGUAAAGCUCUUUUGUCAGGGAAGAAACGGUAAUCUCNUAAUAUAGAUUGNUAAUGACGGUACCUGAANGAAUAAGCACCGGCUAACUACGUGCCAGCAGCCGCGGGUAAUACGUAGGGGUGCAAGCGUUAAUCGGAAUUACUGGGCGUAAAGCGGUGCGCAGGCGGUUAUGCAAGUCAGAUGUGAAAUCCCCGGGCUUAACCUGGGAAUGGCAUUUGAGACUGCAUGGCUAGAGUGUGUCAGAGGGGGGUAGAAUUCCACGUGUAGCAGUGAAAUGCGUAGAGAUGUGGAGGAAUACCGAUGGCGAAGGCAGCCCCCUGGGAUAACACUGACGCUCAUGCACGAAAGCGUGGGGAGCAAACAGGAUUAGAUACCCUGGUAGUCCACGCCCUAAACGAUGUCUACUAGUUGUCGGGUCUUAAUUGACUUGGUAACGCAGCUAACGCGUGAAGUAGACCGCCUGGGGAGUACGGUCGCAAGAUUAAAACUCAAAGGAAUUGACGGGGACCCGCACAAGCGGUGGAUGAUGUGGAUUAAUUCGAUGCAACGCGAAAAACCUUACCUACCCUUGACAUGGUUGGAAUCCUGGAGAGAUUCGGGAGUGCUCGCAAGAGAACCAAUACACAGGUGCUGCAUGGCUGACGUCAGCUCGUGUCGUGAGAUGUUGGGUUAAGUCCCGCAACGAGCGCAACCCUUGUCAUUAAUUGCCAUCAUUUAGUUGGGCACUUUAAUGAGACUGCCGGUGACAAACCGGAGGAANGUGGGGAUGACGUCAAGUCCUCAUGGCCCUUAUGGGUAGGGCUUCACACGUAA